rnacentral:rRNA from 1 species
GAUGAACGCUGGCGGCGUGCCUAAUACAUGCAAGUCGAGCGAACGGACGAGAAGCUUGCUUCUCUGAUGUUAGCGGCGGACGGGUGAGUAACACGUGGAUAACCUACCUAUAAGACUGGGAUAACUUCGGGAAACCGGAGCUAAUACCGGAUAAUAUUAUGAACCGCAUGGUUCAAAAGUGAAAGACGGUCUUGCUGUCACUUAUAGAUGGAUCCGCGCUGCAUUAGCUAGUUGGUAAGGUAACGGCUUACCAAGGCAACGAUGCAUAGCCGACCUGAGAGGGUGAUCGGCCACACUGGAACUGAGACACGGUCCAGACUCCUACGGGAGGCAGCAGUAGGGAAUCUUCCGCAAAGGGCGAAAGCCUGACGGAGCAACGCCGCGUGAGUGAUGAAGGUCUUCGGAUCGUAAAACUCUGUUAUUAGGGAAGAACAUAUGUGUAAGUAACUGUGCACAUCUUGACGGUACCUAAUCAGAAAGCCACGGCUAACUACGUG